ensembl:lncRNA
CGAAAGUUGUUUGGCUUGAUGAGAUCUAUAUGUGUACCGAGUUUCAUACGUCUACGUGCAAGUAUGUAUGAUAUAUGGCCCUCCAUAUUCCAGGGGGCGCUGUAGAGCCCCUGUGCCACGCCCGUGUAUCAGUCUCUGCCCGGACCUAAUGGCCGCAGGUUCCAAUGUGUGUGCCAAUUUUCAAGAGUUUUCGAGUAUGUUAAGGGCCCCAAAAGCCCCCGAGACGUUGGAAAAAAAUAAUAAUAAUAAAUAUAGCUGCAAGCAGCGAUGGCGGGCUCAAGCCAUCAGCGCAAACGCCACCCCGGUGGCAUCAGGUAAACUGUGCCCAGCGGGCACAUGCAUUUACAGUAAUCCUCUGGCACUCAGGUUUUAAGGGAUACGGCAAUUAACGGGUUAAUCCGAAGCAUCAAGACUUUGAAAUCACAUACACAGAACAAUAUUCAUUAAGAAAGUGAAAUUAAAUGAUUAAUAAACUAUUUAUUCGAACCCUCACUAUUUUCUAUUCUAAUAAAAGUUUUGGCUGUGGAACAUCUGUAAUAGAGUUGGCUAGCUGGAUGCAAAUAAAGUCAUGCCUUUUAUUUUUUCCCCUGUUUGCUAUUUCACAUUCCUGUCACUGAAGCGUUGUGGGCAAAGACACAGAAGG